AAAAAUGGAAAAUGGGUUUUGGGUUGGCCUUUGGUUUGGUCCGUUGCUUGCUGCUCUCUUUCAGCUCUCCAACUAUAAAUAGGAGGAGUUGAUCAAAAUGCUCUUUUUUUCUCUUCUUCUUCUUCUCUCUCUUCUGUUAAGCAAAUUGUUAUACAGUGGCGACGACAAUAUCAUACUACUAUUGUCUCAUCUCCGACCAACUUCCGGCGAAAUAGCCGGCGAUCGGCCGAUCAGACUGCCGAAGACUCUCCUCCGCCAUUUACUCUCUCUCUCUCUCUCUCUCUCUCU
rnacentral:lncRNA from 1 species